AUGUUAUCUGGGAGGUGCCGCUGGCUCGCCUCUGGGGUUAGAGCUGCUGUUUUUUUCCAGAACCCGAUACCACGAGCAUCGAUAAUCUGGUGGCGGCGAGUUCUGCUGCUGUGCUGCCUCGGGGUGCCCCUUCCCUCAAAAAGGGGACUGGGUGCUGAUGCUGUGAGCCCUAUCAGGGAGGGGGAAAGCAGCAGGGAGAGUGGGGGGCGGCUCCAAGCGCUGGGCGAGGCAAAACCCACAGAGGGGCACCUCCUGCUGCAUCCCCAUCUGGGGGGCAGCGAGCUCGGCUGGACAUUUUGGGGACGGUUGUGGGGAGGGGGACACCCACUCCUCACCAACCGGGGAGCAGCCGGAGGGGGACGCGCCCGCUUUUUUUAUUAUUUUAUUAUUUUUUUAUUUUUUUUCCCCAUUCCUUCUCCAUCCGCGCCUGCCGUGCGCGCCCGGCCGCGGCCGCUGGGUAGCGCUCGGAGCCUCGCCGCCUCCCCGCCUCCCUCGCUCGGGCUGCCCCCGGCUCCGCCGAGCCCCUCCAGCCGCCCCCCCCCCGGCCCCUUUCGGGCCCGGCCCCGGCCAAGGGGGGCCCCCCCCCCCCCGGAGCUCCCGAAGGGGUCGGCGCUGCGCCUCCUGCCCGCCCGCCGCGCCCCGCCGCCGGCUGCGAGCGGGACCCCGAGCCGCUGCCCCCCGCCGCAGCACUUUCCACGUCUUCCCCCGGCUGACAAGGGGGGGGUGAGACGGGUUUGGGGCUGGGGGGGGGUUGUUUUGGGGAGAGACCCCCCCCUCCCCAUAAAGCCCCCCCCGGAGCCGCCGAAGCGGGGAUGUCCCCAGCAGGGAGCUGAGCGCUGGGGAGGGGCCGGCUGCCGCCCCCGGACCCCAAACUUUGUGGGUUUUGUGAUUUUUUUUUUUCUUGGUUUUCUUUUUUUUUUUUUUUCUUCCCUGCGGUGUGCUCGGCUCCGGGAGCGGCGGGCACGGGGGGGAGAGGGGGGGUGCCCGGCCCCGAUGGUGCUUGAGGACGCAGAAGGGGCCGGGGGCGCACAGCUCAGCGCUUCCCACCCCUUCCCCUGA
rnacentral:lncRNA from 1 species